GUCGAGCAGUCCAGUAUUGAAAAUACUCAAGCAAAAGUAACAUUUCUUGAGAAAUUAAAGAGUGGGGUCUACAGAUGGCCUAGAAAAGAAAAUGUAGAAAUGGUGCUGAGGCAUCAGGUUUUUGCCACAGAAAUAAAGGCCACUGUAGACAAUUCCAAUGGUCUACUCUUUAAAGAGGAAGAAUUGCUUUCGGACUUCAACAGAUGCGUUGGAGCUCUGUUAAAAUUGGAACGCAACUCCUAGGUCGAGGAGAUGUGGGAGCGCACAGAAGCCCCAUUCAGAAAAGUUGGAAUUGUUACCUGGAAAGAUCUCAAGACACUACAGCUUGAGAUGGAUCCAGUACACAAGUCACUUAUGACCACUGAGAUCAUGCCCCGAACACUACAUUGGCAAGUUGGUUAUCUGAAUGAUGAGGUGAUGGACGAGUACAUCAAGUUGCUGGAGAAGAUGGCAAAUAAAAAAGGAAGUAACAGCCAACACUAAAUUUUACGAUCUGCUAACUAAUGGGAAACCGUGGAGAAAAAGGCUUGUCCUUUCAAAGUACGACAAACUGAUUUUCCCCAGUCAGUUUGGGCAAAUCAAUCAUUGGAGUCUUGGAAUUAUUGACAUAAAAAACUCCAAGUUGUCGAUUGUGAAUCCACUCGGCCCCAAAAAGAACUCCCAGCAUUACAAAAUCCUGAGAGAAUUUCUGCAUGAGAGAGGUCUAGCUGGCAAUUGGGAGGUUGAUGAUGUCCAACACCCAAUUCAGCACGAUGAUGUGAGCUGUGGUGUUUAUGUUCUUAAGGAAGAAGUAGAUGAGUACCGUUAUGUCAUAGCAGAGCGCCUUAUGACAACCACUUAAUAACGUGAUUGCGAUUGUUGUAAUAUCGUGUCGUUUUCGAUUAGCUCCACGUUGCAGCGGUUGGACAAACACGUGCUGUAACAAACUGACAGACUUGGCUAAUGAAAGCUUGCCGGCAUUUGACAUUACUUUCAUUGACAGAGAUCGAUAGGAAUUAAAACUUCGAUCUAAAACUGACGUGUGAAAUUGUGCAUGGUAAAAGCUUUUAGCAAGCCAAACAGUUGGUGUGUAAAGGAAUUUAAUUUGCGGUUAUGUGUACACAGAGCACAAUGAUCUACAAUGUUUGUAAAAUUGAAAUUCAAUUCGUAAUGCCACUGUGUUAAGUGACCUCAUAAGUGAUUUGUACUCAAAGUUAUCUUGACUGUAUAAAUUUGCGCGGAACAGAGAGGUUGCGCAACUUACACGAAUAGUUCAAAACUCGAAUUUCAUCGCAAUUUAAGAACGAAUAAAACACACAUUUUCGCAGA